UCGAUGCCUGUGAUGGUGUUAAAUAUACUUCGUAGAUUAACUUCUAUAAAAAAAACUUCAAAUCUCAGGCAAUAG